UCCUUUGCCGCGCGCCAUACACUAUGAUAUAAUAUUAUACGCACAAAGGCAUCGUUUAAAAAAUGGGGGGGGGAAAGACAAAGAAAAAAAAACACAAUACAAUAAUAUAAUAUAUUUCUCUCAGAUCGUUAAACAGCCGCGGCGCGGUCCUUUAAAUACGUAUUCUAUCAGUAUACAGCUCACACCUACAUAUCAGUGGUGUAGUAUAUUCUAUAGUAUUGUCAACAAAGUAAAAGACGCUGAACAUUUUAUCGUAUACUAUGUGCCUAUAUAAUUUUGAGUUACACGUUAUUUACAUUUUUUUAAUGAUUCAGUUUGCCCUCAAAUUUAUAACAUUGCACUAUAGUUUAUUUAGGUGUACAUUAACCUCCUUCAUGUUAUAACCAAGGAAAUUAGGGAGAUAUACUUAUGUACACAAAUAGGGAGUAUUAUUUAUACGACUAACC